rnacentral:rRNA from 1 species
CAUGCAUGUCUCAGUACAAGCCAAAUUAAGGUGAAACCGCGAAAGGCUCAUUAAAUCAGUUAUGGUUCCUUAGAUCGUACCCACAUUUACUUGGAUAACUGUGGUAAUUCUAGAGCUAAUACAUGCAAACAGAGCUCCGACCGACACGGAAGGAGCGCUUUUAUUAGAACAAAACCAAUCGGUGUUGGGUUUCGGCCCGUCAUCGUACAACCUGGUGACUCUGAAUAACUUUAAGCUGAUCGCACGGUCUCGCACCGGCGACGCAUCUUUCAAAUGUCUGCCUUAUCAACUGUCGAUGGUAGGUUCUGCGCCUACCAUGGUCGUAACGGGUAACGGGGAAUCAGGGUUCGAUUCCGGAGAGGGAGCCUGAGAAACGGCUACCACAUCCAAGGAAGGCAGCAGGCGCGCAAAUUACCCACUCCCGGCACGGGGAGGUAGUGACGAAAAAUAACGAUACGGGACUCAUCCGAGGCCCCGUAAUCGGAAUGAGUACACUCUAAACCCUUUAACGAGGAUCAAUUGGAGGGCAAGUCUGGUGCCAGCAGCCGCGGUAAUUCCAGCUCCAAUAGCGUAUAUUAAAGUUGUUGCGGUUAAAAAGCUCGUAGUCGAAUUUGUGUCCCGCGCCGCCGGUUCAUCGUCCGCGGUGUCAACUGGCGUGUCGCGGGACGUCCUGCCGGUGGGCUUAGCUCGCAAGGGCGGCCCAACUCAAUCCCGCCGCGGUGCUCUUCAUCGAGUGUCGAGGUGGGCCGGCACGUUUACUUUGAACAAAUUAGAGUGCUUAAAGCAGGCUAAAACUUCGCCUGAAUACUGUGUGCAUGGAAUAAUGGAAUAGGACCUCGGUUCUAUUUUGUUGGUUUUCGGAACCCCGAGGUAAUGAUUAAUAGGAACGGAUGGGGGCAUUCGUAUUGCGACGUUAGAGGUGAAAUUCUUGGAUCGUCGCAAGACGGACAGAAGCGAAAGCAUUUGCCAAAAACGCUUUCAUUGAUCAAGAACGAAA